UCUAAUUUGGCAGAGAAGUGCGGUGGAUUUAAGCUCCAUUAAUAAAGAUUAAAACUUUUUUUAGAA
rnacentral:tRNA from 3 species